GCCGAUGUAGCUCAGUGGUAGAGUAUGCCUUUCGUAGAUUACGUAAUCUUUCGGAUGCGUUAACGAGAGGGUGUGGUCCAUGGUUCAAACCCAUGUCUCGGCA